GCGUGCGCUCGGGCUGGUCGGCCGUCAUGGUCUGUACCGUUCGGGUCACGCCCCACUGUAGGAUACUCACCGCUGUCCUUAACUGGGUGGCGGUCAAAGGGUGGCGCGCCAGGGGCAACUCUGACGCGUUGCCUGGGGUUCCUACUCAUUUACUUUGAGCAAAUUAGAGUGUUCAAAGCAGGCAAUCGAGCCUUGAAUACUUCAGCAUGGGAUAAUGGAACAGGACUGGGGUCCUGAUUUCGUUGGUUUCUGGGAUCUCAGUA
rnacentral:rRNA from 1 species